rnacentral:rRNA from 1 species
GACGUAGGAUGCGAGCGUUGUUCGGAAUUAUUGGGCGUAAAGCGUGCGUAGGCGGUCAUCUAAGUCUGGUGUUAAAGCUAGAGGCUCAACCUCUGUGUUGCACUGGAAACUGGGUGACUUGAGUGCGGUAGGGGAAGGUGGAAUUCCGAGUGUAGCGGUGAAAUGCGUAGAUAUUCGGAAGAACACCGGUGGCGAAGGCGACCUUCUGGGCCGCAACUGACGCUGAGGCACGAAAGCAUGGGGAGCAAACGGG